rnacentral:rRNA from 1 species
UUCGGUGGUCAUAGCAUGAGGGAAACGCCCGGUUACAUUCCGAACCCGGAAGCUAAGCCUCA